UCUCCAAUCUUUUUCCAUGAACCAGUUAACAAAUUGUUGUUUACAUUAAUGUGCAAUUAUUAAUACUUUGAUAAUAUGUUAGUUGACGACUGUCCAUGCACAUAUCAUUUUCCAUUGUUUCAUUUCUUAUCAGCCAACACUGGUUCCAAAGGUAGAUAGCUAUUGGGUUAAAAGAAAUAUAUGCAGAUAGGAAAUAACGACUUUUGGCGUAUAGAAAAAUGUAAAGUUUUAAUGAUAACCACAUGAUAAUAGAAGCGAAAUUAUCAAAAAUUGCACACCUGGUCGUCAUAUUUCAAUGACUAAAGGGGCAAACUUAAAUUAGAGUUAUGACGCCUGCAUUUUUCGCCAAAUAACCCAAUUUUCAAGAGUGAUAUAAGAACAUUUAAUGGUAAAUAUAAAUUUCCUAUAAAAGUGAUCAAUAGUAGUACUUUUUUGUGCAUUUUUCUAAAACGUUAUUCGACACCACCUACAGCGUAGCGAUAAGAAACGGAAACCGAGCAUUUACUAUGUACCGUAUCCCACCAAAGACUACAUAUCUAAAGGGUAUUUUUUAAGUGCUUUUGGAUUUUUUUUUAAAUAAGCAAAAGGUAUUGAUCUUUAAUCCGUCUAAAAUGAUUCAUUUGCUGGCUCAAAAAAAUUUUUUUUUGUUGUAGCAACAUUUUUACAUUUGGCUCAAGCUCCAUAGGUGAGCAAGCUUGUUCUGGUCCAUGGAACCGAUCGCCGGGGGAAUGUUAUUUCCAUUGGUUAUUUAAAAGCGCCAAUAAUUCGCCUUGUCAAAUUGCCAUAGACACUCAGUAUUUAAGCAAGAGCCGAUGCUGCCGCGACUCUCACCGAGAAUUAGGCAGAAUGCAGUUGCAGUUACUGCGUAUUUGGAGCUUUCCACAAUCCACAGCCUGUGGGCACGUCCGGUACCUCUAAGCUGAGCUUCUCGUGAUGACGAAGAACUCCACACAAAUAGGAACUCAGAUUUCCAGAUUGGUGCUCGUAAUCAUCCCGUGCCGGGGUUCCAAUUUGUUCCACUGUCCCAUAAUCAACAGCAAACAGUCAAUUUUGGUGAACCACUUGAGUUCUCACAAUGCUUUUGGAUGAUCUUUACACCAAACAAAUUCCAAAAGAAACAGGUUUACUUAAUUUCUAAGUCGAUUCAUGAUUAAGUUACACAUUAAGUUGAACUAAGCUAAAAGUGUUUGAGAGUAACACAAAGGCACAAAAUAAGCAUUGCUGACAGUAUUAUCGAAAAGAAAAUUACUUAAACAAUCACCCUUUAGUUAUGAAGUCAUUGUAAACAACAACAAACUUAAAUGCAUACUCACUCAUAUAAAAAUUCAAAGUACCCCCAAGAUAUAUCCAAAGCUGCCUUAAGGCAGAUAGCACUGCACAUUUUACUUGCCUAUAUGUCUGCUUUUUCGUUAAACAAUUUUCUCGUUAAGAAUUACACAAAGCACUUUGUUUACUUAUAAACAUGGGCUAUGGGUUAAGCAGCACCAAAACAAAGUUAUUUUAUCUCUGUGAUUACAAUUGUCCCCGCGCCAACCAUGAUCAUAAGAGUUUCGGGAUGAUACAUACAUAUAUGUAAUACAUAUAUGUAAGAUGAUGUCAAAAAAUAUUCGUUCACCUGCCAAUAUUGAAGCGAGAAACACCGAAAUGCAAAAUGUAUGAUAUCUCGAAGCAUUGGAAAGAGGAAGCGAAAAAACAAAAGUAAAACAUUUGUAACGCUGAGCGUCCAUGCAAGAUAUGGAACCGGUUUGAUUAGUAGAAUACUGCAUUUAACAACGACUAAAAUAUAAUGGAGUUUUUGUGUGGCAAGAAAUGCAGAGCACAGAGAAAUAAACUGUCCAGUUAUGAGUUUUAAAUGUAAAUUUGCAAUGUUUAUACUUUUUCUUACUCAUGAGUGGCCUCAUUUCCGGUGUUCUGAUUCAUUCCGAUGCGAAUCAGGUUAAAAAAAUAUAUAUUGAAAUCUAUUAUGAUAUUACAUUCAUAUAUCUUUUGGGUAUAGUCCAUAGUCCUUAUAGUCCUAUACACCAAAGUGUCUUUGAAAAUAAAUCCUUCUGGAGCCUCGGUUUGCCUUAUUUAAUUUAUCUAGCGUUUCUGUUAUUUACAUUACAUGUUGAAAUCCUAAACAUAUUGGAUACAUCAGAUAUCCAAAGAAUCUUCCCGGACCAAAUUUAACUCAAAUUUCGUCCUUCGUGUCUGCUUGGUGAUUAUGUGGCGUGUCAAUGGCGUCUCCAAUACACGUUUCUCCAAAAUAGAAUAUUAGAUUCUUACGCUACUCUCAAAUAACUUUUAUUUGUUUCAAUAUUGUCACGAUCGGUCAAAAUGUCCGCGUAGGCACUCUUUUUCCCAUAUUUAAAACACAUUCGUAAUCUGCUCUCAAAUACACGUUUUUCAUUUAAGAGACUUAUUAACCCGAUCGGUCAAAAUGUCUACUACCCAAUUUAAGUAAGUACUCUUUUUUACCUGGCCCCCUGGCCAGGAAAAAUCAAACAAACAACACUAUGGCUACACUAGACACAAUAAAAGUAAAAUUACCAAAAUUUAGAAAACUCGGAAUUUUUAUAAUAGGUUGGUAUAAUGAACAUCCCUUAAGAGAACUAUCAAAUCAAAGGAUGCUCUACUAUUCAAGUUUUUAACCUAAUUAUGAGGUCCCUUACGCCUUUUUAUGGCCCAGAUAGAACUGCGUAUCGGGCAUCGAAUUUCACCACAACAUUUGUAUAGACUUAUGAUAAAUUGUGUUGUGAAAUUAAAGAAAUUCGUUUAGAUUCGGAAUUUGCCGCGAUGUAUAUUUGAGGCAACCUUAAAAAUGUUUGAUUGUUUAUAAAACGUCAUGUAUAAUUUACAAAAAUCGCCAUAAAUAACGCCCAUACAUAUGAGAAGGUAUUUGGAUAAUGUCAUGAAAAAGGGCAAGAAAGGCAACUCAUGAGUUGAACAAAAGUUGGGAGUUUAGACCGCGUGUCAUGCAUUGGAUAUAUACUACAGUUGUCAGACCUAUAAUGCUAUAUGGUGUUGUGGUCUGGUGGACGGCGCUUCAUAAGUCCACCUACUGUUCAAUACUCAACCGGAUCCAAAGGUUUGCUUGUUUGUGCACCACAGCCGCACUGAGGACAACACCAUCUGAUGCACUGAAUAUAAUUCUACAUCUAAUGGAAAUCGUGGCUACGCAAAUUGCUGCGACAACUGCCGUGAGGCUAAAGGAGCUUUUUUUUUUGGUCAUGUAGCGGCUACGGACAUUGUGUGCGAUGUUCUAGGCAGUGUGGAUUUUACCCUACCUGAGCCUCUUUUUGAUAAAAAGUACUGUACAACCGAUUGGAACUACAAUAUCCCUGGUAAUAGAAGUUACAUACGGAUGGUUUCAAACUAGACAACCAGGUGGGCUUUGGGGCGUACUCUAAAAAUCUAUAACUGGUCAUAUCGAAAA